rnacentral:rRNA from 1 species
ACGGAAGGCAGCAGUGGGGAAUAUUGCACAAUGGGGGAAACCCUGAUGCAGCGACGCCGCGUGAGUGAAGAAGUUAUUCGUAAUGCAAAGCUCUAUCAGCAGGGAAGAAAAUGACGGUACCUGACUAAGAAGCCCCGGCUAACUACGUGCCAGCAGCCGCGGUAAUACGUAGGGGGCAAGCGUUAUCCGGAUUUACUGGGUGUAAAGGGAGCGUAGACGGUCUAGCAAGUCUGAUGUGAAAGGCAGGGGCUCAACUCCUGGACUGCAUUGGAAACUGUUAGUCUUGAGUGUCGGAGAGGUAAGCGGAAUUCCUAGUGUAGCGGUGAAAUGCGUAGAUAUUAGGAGGAACACCAGUGGCGAAGGCGGCUUACUGGACGAUAACUGACGUUGAGGCUCGAAAGCGUGGGGAGCAAACAGGAUUAGAUACCCUGGUA